rnacentral:rRNA from 1 species
UAGAGUUUGAUCCUGGCUCAGAACGAACGCUGGCGGCAGGCUUAACACACGCAAGUCGAGCGCCCCGCAAGGGGAGCGGCAGACGGGUGAGUAACGCGUGGGAAUCUACCUUUUGUACGGAAUAACUCAGGGAAACUUGUGCUAAUACCGUAUGUGCCCUUCGGGGGAAAGAUUUAUCGGCAAAGGAUGAGCCCGCGUUGGAUUAGCUAGUUGGUGGGGUAAAGGCCCACCAAGGCGACGAUCCAUAGCUGGUCUGAGAGGAUGAUCAGCCACACUGGGACUGAGACACGGCCCAGGCUCCUACGGGAGGCAGCAGUGGGGAAUAUUGGACAAUGGGCGCAAGCCUGAUCCAGCCAUGCCGCGUGAGUGAUGAAGGCCCUAGGGUUGUAAAGCUCUUUCACCGGUGAAGAUAAUGACGGUAACCGGAGAAGAAGCCCCGGCUAACUUCGUGCCAGCAGCCGCGGUAA